UUUCACAAUUCUUUUUUGCGUUUUUUGUUUUUUCGCCGGUUAAACCCCUAUGGAAGCACCGUUUCCGAGUCUCCUCCUCGCUUCAGCUUGCCAAUUUCUCAGAGAAAUUCCUUCCUUUUCCUCUUCUUCUUCCACUGACACUCUUCAGAUUCCUCCCCAUACGACUCUCUAGGGUUUUUCCAAUUGGUGUAGUAACUCUCUCAGCUCAUCCAAUCCUCCCUUCGAUUUUUCUUCUUCGAAUUCUCUGUACCCUAGGAGCUUCCGAGCUCGCCAAAUGGCGGAGGAGCGGGGCGGCGGCGGCGGAGGAUUAGGAGGAGGGGGAGUAGAGUCGUCGUCUUCGAGGA
rnacentral:lncRNA from 1 species